GACGAACGCUGGCGGCGUGCCUAAUACAUGCAAGUAGAACGCUGAAGAGAAGAGCUUGCUCUUCUUGGAUGAGUUGCGAACGAGUGAGUAACGCGUAGGUAACCUGCCUGGUAGCGGGGGAUAACUAUUGGAAACGAUAGCUAAUACCGCAUAAAAUUGAUUAUUGCAUGAUAAUUAAUUGAAAGAUGCAAUUGCAUCACUACCAGAUGGACCUGCGUUGUAUUAGCUAGUUGGUGAGGUAACGGCUCACCAAGGCGACGAUACAUAGCCGACCUGAGAGGGUGAUCGGCCACACUGGGACUGAGACACGGCCCAGACUCCUACGGGAGGCAGCAGUAGGGAAUCUUCGGCAAUGGGGGGAACCCUGACCGAGCAACGCCGCGUGAGUGAAGAAGGUUUUCGGAUCGUAAAGCUCUGUUGUAAGAGAAGAACGGGUGUGAGAGUGGAAAGUUCACACUGUGACG
rnacentral:rRNA from 1 species